GACUUCAACGAACUCUCCGUCCUUCAUAUAGGAACCAAUUUCUUCAUCGAUAACGACGACUUCACAUUCCCCGAUCAAUGCUAUGACUACUUGAACCCUGAUACGGUCCUUGCUGUGACGUGCCAUGGGAAAAAACCUCUGGUACUCGCCGCAUUGUGUUUUGUUACCCACCGGCCGUUGCUUUUUCGUGGCCUUGACGAGAUUUGGACGCCGAUCUCGUUGUCAACUUUCUAUGGAGACAUCUGCGUGUUUAAAGGGCGGAUUUACGCAGUCAACUUAUUCGGCCGGACAGUUGUGGUAGGACCGGAGUCGAGCGUCCAGUUAGUCGCUCAACCUAUUGUUUCUGGUGUGACCCAAAAACUGCUGGUGGAGAGUGAGGGUAAGUUAUUGUUAGUGAACAUGUGUGAGUCUUAUCCCGAUUUCUUCGGUAUUGAUUUAUUUGAGCUUGAUGAGAAGGAGAAUAAGUGGGUGAGGUUGAUGGAUUUUGAUGAGAAGAAGAAUGAGUGGGUGAAGUUGAAGGAUAUAGGGGAUAGAGUUCUGUUCUUGGCGAGUGGAUGUUCGUUUUCUGCAUAUGCUUCGGAAUUGGGUCUUCCCAAAGGAAACUGUGUUGUCUUUUUUGACGAUUCUGUCGUCUGUUGUGGCAAUUUGAGAUGUGGGAACUGUGUUUUUCACUUGGAUCAAGAUCGACUUUCCCCUGCGUCAGAAUAUCCGGAAUAUUUGAACAUGUUCCAGCCACCUGAGUGGAUCCUCAAAAGCUAAAUUUGUAACAUGGUAUGUUAUCUUGUAUUGUAUUGAAAGGUUUCUAAUGUGAUAGUGCAUUAUUGUGCUCAAUUUAUGUUGUUAGAUUGGAUAAACUUUUUGACUAAUACAUUUACUAUAAGUAUCUACACUACUGAUUUUUCAGGGCAUUCAUUUUUUAUAAAUGCAGCUAGCUAUUACAUUGGAAAAUAUGUAAUACAUCACCAUGUCAAGUUUUAUUAUUGUUAUGAUGUUUCUAUACUAAAGUAACAAUGUUGACAGGCUUCAUUGUCUUCUUUUAUUGUUACUUUUGAAGACUAUAUGUUUACCAACAAACUCCUAAUUCCUAAUUACAUGUUCAUAUGAAAUGAUGCUGAAAAAUGAGGUGGAAUUUGAGUUGACUGAUAAGUGUUCCGGCGGAUUUACUUCUUAAGCAAUUUGUGAUUAUUCAAGGUUUGUUAUGUUAUUUUGAUUUUAUUUUAUGGUGACAACUUGCAUUAUUAGCGUUGUAUGUAAAGUUGAAACCUAAUUGGUAAGUUACACUUGUAUCUCAAGUCUCAACAAAUUUUACCUUCUCUGGUGUUUUGGGAUUUUAAUGCCAAUGUUACAUUAUUAGAUACAAAUAAUUAUAAGACCUUUGGUUCUUUCUCCAGUACAAUCUUUCUAUCAAAUGACCUAAAACUGUGAGUACUGAAUGGCUAUUAACUCUUCCCUAUUUUUAAAAGGCCAUUAUAAACUUGGAUUGGGUGUACAGUACACCGUGUACUGCUCCGUUGUUUACCAAACCUUUUGUCUUUAUUUAAGAGAGAUAGUUUAGGAAUAUAACUAAUCCUUUCGCAGUGUUUGAAAUCCAAUUUAUCGAUCUGUUGUCUUAAAGUGCCCUAUGUGUUUUACUUGCCUUGUUACCUAAUUAUGACAGAAAACUCUUUGGUUUCUUGCUUGCUUUUUUUCUAUAAAUAACACAUAUAAUUAAGACUUACUUGAUCUGUCUGCUUUUCUUGUUUACUUAUAUUAGGUAUUGAAUAUUGAUAGUUCACCCUUUUUAUUUGUAGCUAUUUUGAGAUAUUCUUCGUUGUGCAUUCAUAGGGUUUUUGGUAUUAUGGGGUGUCCAAGUCUCACAUUGAGUGGCAUGAGAUGCUUGAUGGAGUAAUUAAGUGGUUUGGUUUGUUUUCCAUUGAUAGCUAGCUUUUAAUGUAGAGUUCCUUAAGUGCUUGAAUACUUAUCAUGCAUAAAUAAUAUACUAGAGAUAGAAAGAGAACGAGGGACACAACAUCUCUACUCGGAUCUUUUACUGGUAUGACCAGAAAAUCUGACAUUUAUAUUGCCGAAAUUAUUCAAAGAUUUUUAGUUGCCACUGCACGUAUUUUUCUGAUGGGUUUAUGAGUCUCUACUUUGGAAUAGACAUUGUGAAAAAUCAAGUUCUAAACAACUUAUCUAUGACUGGUUCUGACCUCUUUGUUUCUUGUUUACUCUUAGAUUAGGUUCUGAUAGUUUAUCCUUUUUAGUAGUAUAUGUAGCUAUUUGGAGGUUUUCUUCAUUGUGCAUUGUUAGGGAAUUGGCUAUUGGGUGGGAGUGCCAAAAUCUCACAUCACAUUGAAUUGCAUUGAAUGUUUAGUGGAGUAUUUGUGUGGCUUGGUUCUUUUCUCUUGAUAAGCCAGCUUUGAACAGAGGAUUCCUCAAGUGCUUGGAUACUGAUCUUGCAUGGAUCAUGCGUAAAUUUGCCUAGACAUUAUUUAUUAGGAUUUUGAACUGGUCUAACAAAAAGUCUUGUCAUUUUGAACUGGUCGUACGCACGGGUUUUACCCUAGUUUGUACUAAAAUAAAAUAAAAUAGAGAUCCAAAGAAUAAACUAAAUACUGUAUUAUUUUUUGUCCAAUCAAUAUUCAGUCGCAAACAAAUUAUAAAAAACAAUUAAAGCAUUUAUUUAGGUGUAUCAAUAAAAAAGUUGAGCUGAGUAAAAAAAAAAAAGGAAGUUGAGCAAUUCUGUCAAAAUUUAAAAGAUUAUUUAGCAAUAUUAUUGUCCCUAUGUACUUAACUGUAAUCGGUAGCAAUAUUAUUGUCUAGCAUUAGUUUUUGUAGUAAUAUUACCGUCAUUGAAAUACAACAAAUAUAUUUGUUAAGAUAUGCCAAAAUUAAAUAAUCAUUUAAAAAAUUGAAAAUUAAUAAAAAAAUAAAAUAAAUAGUUGACAUGUGAUAUAACUACUUAUUUUCAAGUAGUAUAAUUUUUAUUUUUUUUUCUUCAAAAAAAGUAAUAUAAAAUAAAAUAAAAGUUUGUUUCCAAAUAUCGAUUCAAUUUCUUUCUUUUUUUUGGAAUCAAUAUCGAUUCAAUUUCGUUACUAUUAUUUACUAGAUGUGUAUUGAAUGAUCGUAGAAAUUAACUACUUGAAAAAGUUUGUUUUUAGCUGUCUAGCAUUAGUUUUUGUUAGGGUCCUGUUUCNNNNNNNNNNNNNNNNNNNNNNNCUCCCUUACCGUUACUAAAGUUCAAAGAAGAGAAAAUAAAAGAGAAUGAGCGCGCGAAACGGCAAGAGGAGCAGAAUCAUAUCCACGGCGGCAAAUUGGUCUGAUCUGCCGAGGGAUCUUUUGUAUAUGAUAUCUCAACGCAUCGACAAUGAAAUCGAUCUCAUUCGCUUCCGAUCAAUUUGUUCCAAUUGGCGCUCUUCUUCAAUCCCAAUUCACCAUACCAACAUUUUACCUUUCAAGUUCCCACUCCUUAAAUAUGUUCUUAAUACCGAAUCUGAUUCAGAUGACGACUUCUCCGAUUGUAUCAACGACUACGAAUUCUCUGAUUCAAUGAAUAUCAAUGAUUCAAACUUUCCAUUUUUAUACCUCUCCAAACGCAGUAUCUUCCUCAUCAAACCACCACAACAACAACAACAAGACACAACCCUAGUUCGUCGUCCUUGGUUGGUACGAAUUACUCAAAACCCUUUUGGAAAAACCAAAAUCUCCCAACCAGACACCUCAUUGGAGCCAAUUUUCCCUUCUAUUGAUUAUUCCAACAUGCUUGACUUCAACGAAUUAUCAGUCCUUCAUUUGGGAACUGCUUUCAUAAUGGAGGACGACAGAGACCUCUGGGAUCCAUACUAUGACUACUUGCACCCUAGAACAGUCCUUGCUGUCACGUGCCAUGGGAAAAAACCUCUGGUAGUUGGGGCAAUGUGUUUUGUUACUCCUCGUCCGAUGCUUUUCCGUGACAAUGAUGAGCGUUGGAGGCCGAUCUCCUCGUCAACUUACUAUGGAGACAUCUGUGUGUUCAAUGGGCGGAUUUACUCAGUCAACGUAUUCGGCCGGAUAGUUGUGGUAGGACCGGAGUCGACCGUCCAGUUAGUGGCUCAACCUUUAGUUGAUGGUGGGAGCCAUAAACUGCUGGUGGAGAGUGAGGGUAAGUUAUUGUUAGUGAACGUGUAUCAGUCUUAUCCCGAUUUCUUCGGUAUUGAUUUAUUUCAGCUUGAUGAGAAGGAGAAUAAGUGGGUGAAGUUGAAGGAUAUAGGGGAUGGGGUUUUGUUCUUGGCGUGUGGAUGUUCGUUUUCUGCAUAUGCUUCCGAAUUGGGUCUUCCCAAAGGAAAUUGUGUCGUCUUUUUUGACAAUUCCGUCCUCUGUAUUGGCAAUGUGGAAGAUGGGAACCGUGUUUUUCACUUGGAUCAAGAUCGGCUUUCACCUGUGUCUGAAUAUCCCGAAUAUUUAAACUUGUUCUUGCCACCGGAGUGGAUCCUCAAAAGCUGAAUUCGUAACAGAGUAUGUUAUCUUGUAUAAGGUUUCUAAUGUGAUGGUGAUUGAUAGGGCAUUAUUGUGCUUAGUUUAUGUUGUUAGAUUGGAUAAACUUUUUGACUAAUACAUUUACCACAAGUAUCUACACUACUGAUUUUUGAGGACAUUCAUUUUUUAUAAAUGCAGCUAUCUAUUACAUUGGAAAAUAUGCAGUACAUCACCAUGUCAAGUUAUUACUAUUAUUGUUAUGAUGUUUCUAUACUAGAAGUAAUAAUGUUGACAGACUUCAUUAUUUCCUUCGAUUGUUACUUUUGAAGACCAUAUGCUUACCAACAAACUCCUAAUUCCUAAUUACAUGUUCAUAUGAAAAUAUUUCGAAAAUUGAGGUGGAAUUUGAGGUACCAGAAAAGUGUUAUGUUAUUUUGAUUUAAUUUUGACAACUUGCAUUAUUGGUGUUGUAUAUGUAUAGUUGAAACUUAAUUGGUCAGUUACACUUGUAUCUCAAGUCUCAACUAUUUUACCUUCUCUGGUGGUUUGGGAUUUAAUGUCAAUGUUACCUUCUUAGAUCAAAAAAGAGAAAUAAUAUUUUCUAUCAAAUGAGCUAAAAUUGUGAGUGCAUUAUUUGGAAUGAACAUAGUGAAAAAUGAAGAAACAACUUAUCUAUGACUGGUUCUGGCCUCUUUAUUUCUUGUCUACUUUUACUUAGAUUAGGUUCUGAUAGUUUAUCUUUAUCCUUUUUAUUUUUGUAGCUAUUUGGAGGUUUUCUUCGGUGUGCAUUGUUAGAGGAUUGGCUAUGGGUGGGGAGUUCCAAAAUCACAUUGAAUAGUAUGGAAUGUUUAGUGGAGUGUAUUUAGGUAGGUGGCUUGGUUCCUUUCUCUUGAUGAGCUAGCUUUGAAAGCAGGAUUCCUCAAGUGCUUGGAUACUUAUCUUGCAUAGAUCACGCGUAACUGGUUGUUUAGUUUCUAACAAAAGCCUUAUCAUUUUAUGCAGGGGCGAGUAGAGACACAACAUUUUGGGUUAAUUAACUCACUGCAUUUUCUUGACUUUUUCUCGCCCUUUAUUUUCUUGACUUUUCUCGGUGAAUCUUAUAUUUUCUCAGUGAGAAUUUGGAACUAGACAUCACAACCAGUACUUUAAUGCUUAUAGUUAAGGAAUAAGCUCUAUUAUUAGUUCAGGUGCAAGUCUUUUGGUUAUCCAUCUUCUUUUUAGCUGUCAAGUGUUGAUUUUAGUGUCUGUAUCUGAUUAUAGUAAUUGGCGACGGCUUGAUCUGAUAUACUAUGUUAUCUAUUAGAACGAGUAGACUCUCCGCACGUGUUGUUACUGUCACAGUGUCACUGCUUGAGUUAAAAAGAAUCAUAUGAUCCCUGGAUUAAGUGGGAAUCGAGCAUUAGGAACUUAAUUAGCUCUUCUAGGUAAGUGGUGAUGGGGAUUGAAGUCUGAGUCAGAUUCUGUGGGAAUUGUUCCUUAUGCUUAAACGUGGUCACAAUUUGGAGUCUAUUGCGAGUUUACUGGGGAGGGNNNNNNNNNNNNNNNNNNNNNNNNNNNNNNNNNNNNNNNNNNNNNNNNNNNNNNNNNNNNNNNNNNNNNNNNNNNNNNNNNNNNNNNNNNNNNNNNNNNNNNNNNNNNNNNNNNNNNNNNNNNNNNNNNNNNNNNNNNNNNNNNNNNNNNNNNNNNNNNNNNNNNNNNNNNNNNNNNNNNNNNNNNNNNNNNNNNNNNNNNNNNNNNNNNNNNNNNNNNNNNNNNNNNNNNUUCUGAGGAAUAUGAUUGAUAACCCAAUGGCCAAGUCCAUCCUUUCUCUAGAUCAAUGCUAUCAACUAAUUCAUCUGGCAUCUCAGCAAAUACAAGGAAUUGAAAGUUUUUCAAGUUUUUUAGGUCUUGAGAGGUAAGACCUUCAAUUGAGGGUUGUUUUUAAACCUGAAGUGUUCUAGACCAAGAUUCUCUAGAGAUUCAAGGUUGUUUAUAUCUUGUAUUGCAACACAUGAUGCAAUUCCAUAUUGUCGCUGCACGUGUGAACUGUUCAAUCAAGAUCAUACAACCUAAAUCUACUGACCGGAUACUUCACCUACUAUUGGAUUACACAUAGUUUUAUAAUGACUUAAUUACACUUUUGGUUCGUUAUAUUUAUUUUAGGUUUUAAGUUGGUCCCUUAUUUUUUAAAAGUGUCAAGUUGGUCUCGUAUCUUUUCUGUCGUUCAAUUAGUUAGUCACCCGUCAAAUUUUUUACUAUUAGCGUUAAAUUUGGACACAUGUCAUCUGACCAAGUGUGGUUUCCGUUUGCCACGUGACCAAUGUUAACGGUAAUCGUAAAAAAUUAGUAAGAGAGAAAAAUCUUCCUAGUGUGCCCCACCGAAUCUCCACAUAGAUUAUUCAUCAUUAACAGCAGUUGAUGAUAUCAAUAAAGUGUAUGCCAACAAAUCAACAAAAACUAAAAAAAAAACUAUAUAAAAAAAAACUAAAAAAAGAUACAUAUUUAUUUUGUUAAGAUAAUUUAUUUGAUAAAAAAAAUACAAAUAUUUAUUGAAAUAUUUAUGCCAAAUUAAAUCAUCAUGUAAAGAUAAUAAAAAAAACAAAUAUUUGUUAAGAUAUGUAUGCCAAAAUUAAAUAAUCAUUUAAAAAAUUGAAAAAAAUAACAAUAAAUAGUUGACAUGUGACAUAAAAAAACAUUACUUCAUAGUAGUCUCUAUACACGCAAUUUAUUGAAUGAUCGUAGAAAUUAACUACUUGAAAAAGAAGUCUAGCAUUAGUUUUUGUUAGGGUCCUGUUUCUCCCUUACCGUUACUAAAGUUCAAAGAAGAGAAAAUAGAAGAGAAUGAGCGCGCGAAACGGCAAGAGGAGCAGAAUNUCUGAUAUCUCGAUGCAUCGACAAUGAAAUUGAUCUCAUCCGCUUCCGAUCAAUUUGUUCCAAUUGGCGCUCUUCUUCAAUCCCAACUCACCAUACCAACAUUUUACCCUUUAAAUUCCCACUCCUUAAAUAUGUUUUUAGUUCCUAUCGCGAAUCUGAGUCAGACGAUGACUUCUCCGAUUGUAUCAACGACUACAAAUUCUCUGAUUCAAUGAACAUCAACGACACAAACUUUCCAUUUGAAUACCUCUCCAAACGCAGUAUCUUCCUCAUCAAACCACCACAACAACAACAAACAAGCCUAACUCGUCCAUGGUUGAUUAGAUUUAUCCAAAACUCUUUUGGAAAAACCAAAAUCUUCCAACCACAAGACACAUUUGAUUCACUUUUCCCUUCUUUUGAUUAUUCCAACGUGCUUGACUUCAACGAAUUAUCAGUCCUUCAUUUAGGAACUGAUUUCAUCAUCGAAGACGAGGAUGACAAACACUCCGAUCCACACUAUCACUACUUGCACCCUAGAACGGUCCUUGCUGUCACGUGCCACGGGAGAAAACCUCUUGUACUCGGGGCAAUGUGUUUUGUUACCCCUCGUCCGAUGCUUUUGCGUGACUAUGAUGANNNNNNNNNNNNNNNNNUCAAAGGGCGGAUUUAUGCAGUCAACAUAUUCGGCCGGACAGUUGUGGUAGGACCAUCGGAGUUGACCGUCCAGUUACCUGCUCAACCUUCCGAUCCUGUGAGCAAUAAACUACUGGUGGAGAGUGAGGGUAAGUUAUUGUUAGUGGAGUUGUGUGAGUCUUUUCCUGAUUUCUUCGGUAUUGAUUUAUUUCAGCUUGAUGAGAAGGAGAUUAAGUGGGUGAGGUUGAUGGAUUUUGAUGAGAAGAAGAAUGAGUGGGUGAAGUUGAGGGAUAUAGGGGAUAGGGUUUUGUUCUUAGGGAGUGGAUGUUCGUUUUCUGCAUAUGCUUCGGAACUGGGUCUUCCCAUAGGAAAUUGUGUUGUGUUUUUUGACGAUUCUGUCCUCUGUGUUGGCAAUUUGAAUUGUGGGAAUUGUAUUUUUCACUUGGAUCAAGACCGACUUUCCCCCGCGUCUGAAUAUCCCGAAUAUUUGAACCUGUUCUUGCCACCUGAGUGGAUCCUCAAAAGCUAAAUUUGUAACAUGG
rnacentral:lncRNA from 1 species